AUUGAACGCUGGCGGCAGGCUUAACACAUGCAAGUCGAACGAGUGGCGGACGGGUGAGUAAUGCUUGGGAAUCUAGCUUAUGGAGGGGGAUAACUACGGGAAACUGUAGCUAAUACCGCGUACCAUAGGAUGAGCCCAGAUGGGAUUAGGUAGUUGGUGAGUUAAAGGCUCACCAAGCCGACGCUCCCUAGCUGGUCUGAGAGGAUGACCAGCACCACUGGAACUGAGAGACGGCCCAGACUCCUACGGGGGGCAGCAGUGGGGAAUAUUGCGCAAUGGGGGCAACCUGACGCAGCCAUGCCGCGUGAAUGAAGAAUGCUUUCGGGUUUUAAAGUUCUUUCGGUAGGGAGGCGUUAACUGCAGAAGAAGCACCGGCUAACUCCGUGCCAGCCGCCGCGGUAAUAC
rnacentral:rRNA from 1 species